rnacentral:lncRNA from 1 species
AUAUAAACAAGUUCGGGAAAAUGUGAUCCAGAGGCUGAUGUUCCCAUAAUGUUUAUGCCGAGUCUGGAGGUUUAUAACUUUAUUUCCUAACCGUUAUCAAUCCCAACUCUAAAUCUCCCAUAUCAUAACGACUUUUACUUUACACAGGUCCUCAAAAUGUCAAUUUCCCUCAUUCUUCACUUGAAAUGAGAAUUUUCAUUAUUAAAACAAGGUAUUAGCCAUAAUGUUAUCCCUACGAUUGGCUGGUACCUGCUAUUUGCUUCUUUUAUAAAACCUAUAUGUAUGAUAUAAUAAACCACACUCAGUGUAUUUGGUCCUUCACAAUGACACUAAAGACAACAAAAGGUUUUCUGAGUUUUAGACACCAAUUGAUGUGGCAGAGGACAUAGCAUUAGGACCAAAUGUAAGCACUCAUUACAAGCUUGUGUACACCAACAGAGCACCUAACACACUACUAUUAAUUGCUUCUCCAUACGAUCCUUCCUCGCCCUCAAUUCAAUUGGAAAUAUACAAUAAUGCAAAAACCUAAAGCUUCUUUCUUUCUUUCCUUUUCUGGCUGCAAAAGUGAAAAAUAACAAGAAAAUUCCCUAAUAAUAGAUGUUGAUGAAAUGCAGAAAGGCAAACAACGGUACAGC